UAGGGAAUCUUCCGCAAUGGACGCAAGUCUGACGGAGCAACGCCGCGUGAGUGAAGAAGGAUUUCGGUUCGUAAAACUCUGUUGUUAGAGAAGAACAGCGCAUAGAGUAACUGUUAUGCGUGUGACGGUAUCUAACCAGAAAGCCACGGCUAACUACGUGCCAGCAGCCGCGGUAAUACGUAGGUGGCAAGCGUUGUCCGGAUUUAUUGGGCGUAAAGCGAGCGCAGGCGGUCAAUUAAGUCUGAUGUGAAAGCCCCCGGCUCAACCGGGGAGGGUCAUUGGAAACUGGUUGACUUGAGUGCAGAAGAGGAGAGUGGAAUUCCAUGUGUAGCGGUGAAAUGCGUAGAUAUAUGGAGGAACACCAGUGGCGAAGGCGACUCUCUGGUCUGUAACUGACGCUGAGGCUCGAUAGCGUGGGUAGCAAACAGG
rnacentral:rRNA from 1 species